UACGGGAGGUGCAAGCGUUGUUCGGAUUGACUGGGCGUAAAGCGCACGUAGGCGGGUUUGUAAGUCGGAUGUGAAAGCCCCGGGCUUAACCUGGGAACUGCACCCGAAACUAUAAAUCUUGAAUGCCUGAGAGGUUGGUAGAAUUCCAGGUGUAGGAGUGAAAUCCGUAGAUAUCUGGAGGAACAUCGGAGGCGAAGGCGGCCAACUGGCGGUGCAUUGACGCUGAGGUGCGAAAGCGUGGGGAGCAAACAGG
rnacentral:rRNA from 1 species